rnacentral:rRNA from 1 species
GACGAACGCUGGCGGCGUGCCUAAUACAUGCAAGUUGAGCGCUGAAGGUUGGUACUUGUACCAACUGGAUGAGCAGCGAACGGGUGAGUAACGCGUGGGGAAUCUGCCUUUGAGCGGGGGACAACAUUUGGAAACGAAUGCUAAUACCGCAUAAAAACUUUAAACACAAGUUUUAAGAUUGAAAGAUGCAAUUGCAUCACCCAAAGAUUAUCCCGCGUUGUAUUUGCUAGUUGGUGAGGUAAAGGCUCAACAAGGCGAUGAUACAUAGCCGACCUGAGAGGGUGGACGGCCACAUUGGGACUGAGACACGGCCCAAACUCCUACGGGAGGCAGCAGUAGGGAAUCUUCGGCAAUGGACGGAAGGCUGACCGAGCAACGCCGCGUGAGUGAAGAAGGGUUUCGGAUCGUAAAACUCUGUUGGUAGGGAAGAACGUUGGUGAGAGUGGAAAGCUCAUCAAGUGACGGUAACUACCCAGAAAGGGACGGCUAACUACGUG